rnacentral:misc_RNA from 1 species
AUACUGAGGUCAGAUGCACUUGAGUAUGGAGAAAAUCUCGUCAGAUUAUGGCUGGUUAUUGAAAGACUUUGUGUCUCACUGCCCAGGAGCAAAAUAACUAUAAGUGCUGUACCAAGAUGCCUCCAACAGGAUUUUGUUCUUCGUCCCAUGUAUGAGGAGGCCAUGUAUUUGAGUUUGACACAUGGUCUUAUUACCAAAAGGUUAUAUGAAUGGAUUCUAAUCUUACAGCGGUAAGCAAAAGUGUUGGCUGCCAUCCAUUUGGGACCGCAAGCAACUUGGUAUUUACUUG